GGCUACUGCUGUUGGAGUUCGAUUAAGCCAUGCUUGUCUAGGUUUCUGGCAAGGAACCUGGCAAACAGCUCAGUAACACGUGGACAACCUACCUUUGGGAGGGGGAUAACCUCGGGAAACUGAGGACAAUACUUCAUAGGUGAGAUGUUCUGCAAUGACUCUCACUAAAAGGCAUUGUUCUUUUGCCGAAUAAUGUCACCUUAAGAAGGGUCUGCGGUGGAUUAGAUUGAUGUUGGGGUAAUGGCCUAACAUGUCGAUAAUCCAUACCGGCUAUGGAAGUAGGAGCCGGGAGAUGGAUACUGAGACAAAGAUCCAGGCUCUACGGAGCGCAGCAGGCGCGAAAACUCCACAAUGCGCGUAAGCGUGAUGGGGGAACUCCAAGUGUUCCUCAAAAGAGGAACUUUUGCAGUAUGUAAAAAGUACUACGAAUAAGGGCUGGGUAAGACUGGUGCCAGCCUCCGCGGUAAACCAGCAGCCCGAGUGGUAGUCAAUACUAUUGGGCUUAAAGCGUUCGUAGCCGGUCUAGUAAGUUCUUUGUGAAAUCCUUAAGCUUAACUUAAGGGCUGGCAGAGAAUACUGUUAGGCUUGGAGCCGGGAGAGGUUGAGGGAAUUUCUGGGGUAGCGGUGAAAUGCUAUAAUCCUAGGAAGACCUCCAAGAGCGAAGGCACUCAACCAGAACGGACUCAACGGUGAGGAACGAAAGCUAGGGUAUCAAACCGGAUUAGAUACCCGGGUAGUCCUAGCCACAAACGAUGCGGACUAGGUGUUUCUUGAACUUCGAGUUCAGGAGAUGCUGAAGGGAAACCAUUAAGUCCGCCGCCUGGGGAGUACGGUCGCAAGGCUGAAACUUAAAGGAAUUGGCGGGGGAGCACCACAAGGGGUGGAGUCUGCGGUUCAAUUGGAUACAACGCCGGGAAACUUACCAGGGACGACGGCAUAAUGAAGGUCAGUCUGAAGGGCUUACCAGAAGAGCCGAGAGGUAGUGCAUGGCCGUCGCCAGCUCGUACCGUGAGGCGUGCGGUUAAGUCCGCUAACGAGCGGGACCUGUGCCUCUAUUUGCUACUCUUUUCGAUGGAAAAGGGGCACUAUAGGGGGACCGCUGGCGAUAAACCAGAGGAAGGUGCAGUCGACGAUAGGUCAGUAUGCUCCAAAUUUCCUGGGCUACACGUGGACUACAAUGGUAUGGACAAUGAGUUGCAACUCCGAAGGGAGGAGCUAAUCCCCUAAACCAUGCCUUAGUUCGGAUCGAGCCUUGAAACCCUGGCUCGUGAAGAUGAAAUCCCUAGUAAUCGCUCGUUACCAUCGAGCGAUGAAUAUGUCCCCGCUCCCUGCACACACCGCCCGUCAAAUCAACUGAGUGAAUUUAGAAUGAGGCUCUCUCUUUCGGGAAAGUCGAAUUCUAGACUCGCAAGGGGGGUU
rnacentral:rRNA from 1 species